AUUGAACGCUGGCGGCAUGCCUUACACAUGCAAGUCGAACGGCAGCACGGGAGCAAUCCUGGUGGCGAGUGGCGAACGGGUGAGUAAAGUAUCGGAACGUGCCCAGUCGUGGGGGAUAACGUAGCGAAAGUUACGCUAAUACCGCAUACGGUCUAUGGAUGAAAGCGGGGGAUCGCAAGACCUCGCGCGAUUGGAGCGGCCGAUAUCAGAUUAGGGAGUUGGUGGGGUAAAGGCUCACCAAGCCGACGAACUGUAGCUGGUCUGAGAGGACGACCACCCACACUGGGACUGAGACACGGCCCAGACUCCUACGGGAGGCAGCAGUGGGGAAUUUUGGACAAUGGGCGCAAGCCUGAUCCAGCCAUGCCGCGUGCAGGAUGAAGGCCUUCGGGUUGUAAACUGCUUUUGUACGGAACGAAAAGGUUUGACUUAAUACGUUGGACUCAUGACGGUACCGUAAGAAUAAGCACCGGCUAACUACGUGCCAGCCGCCGCAGUAA
rnacentral:rRNA from 1 species